rnacentral:ncRNA from 2 species
GGCACCUCCGAGGGGUGUCCUGUAUGGGCUGAGAUGGCGCAAGCCGAACCCUUUGAACCUGAUCUGGGUCAUGCCAGCGAAGGGACGGUCGGCAAUGACAGC